rnacentral:rRNA from 1 species
UUUUGGACAAUGGGGGCAACCCUGAUCCAGCCAUGCCGCGUGAGUGAAGAAGGCCUUCGGGUUGUAAAGCUCUUUCGGACGGAACGAAAUGGGCGGGACUAAUACUCCUGUCUGAUGACGGUACCGUAAGAAGAAGCACCGGCUAACUACGUGCCAGCAGCCGCGGUAAUACGUAGGGUGCGAGCGUUAAUCGGAAUUACUGGGCGUAAAGCGUGCGCAGGCGGUUUCGUAAGCUGGAGGUGAAAUCCCCUGGCUUAACCUGGGAAUGGCCUUCAGGACUGCGAGGCUAGAGUGCGGCAGAGGGAGGUGGAAUUCCACGUGUAGCAGUGAAAUGCGUAGAGAUGUGGAGGAACACCGAUGGCGAAGGCAGCCUCCUGGGCCAGCACUGACGCUCAUGCACGAAA